UCAGCGGCAGACGGGUGAGUAACACGUAGAUAACCUACCCUCAAGACGGGGAUAACCGGUGGAAACAGCGGCUAAUACCCGAUAGGCUCACGUGAUCGGGAGGUCAAGUGAGGAAAGGCUGCGGUGCUUGAGGAGGGGUCUGCGGCCCAUCAGCUAGUUGGUGAGGUAACGGCUCACCAAGGCGAAGACGGGUAGGGGGUGUGAGAGCACGACCCCCCACAAUGGGACUGCGACACGGCCCAUACUCCUACGGGAGGCAGCAGCAGGGAAUAUUGCGCAAUGGACGGAAGUCAGACGCAGCGACGCCGCGUGGGUGAGGAAGGCCUUCGGGUUGUAAAGCCCUUUUCUGGAGGGCGAGGCAGGACGGUACUCCAGGAAUAAGCGUCGGCUAACUACGUGCCAGCAGCCGCGGUAAGACGUAGGACGCAAGCGUUAUCCGGAUUUACUGGGCGUAAAGCGCCUGUAGGCGGCGGGAUAAGUCGGAUGUGAAAGCCCCGUGCUCAACGCGGGGAAACCAUUCGAUACUGUCUGGCUAGAGAGCGGGAGAGGGAAACGGAAUUCUGGUGUAGCGGUAAAAUGCGCAGAGAUCAGAAGGAACACCGAUGGCGAAGGCAGUUUCCUAGGCCGUAUCUGACGCUGAGAGGCGAAAGCUAGGGGAGCGAACAGGAUUAGAGACCCUGGUAGUCCUAGCUGUAAACGCUGGAUGCUAGGUGUGGGCCAGAGCGGUCCGUGCCGGAGUUAACGCGAUAAGCAUCCCGCCUGGGGAGUACGGCCGCAAGGCUAAAACUCAAACGAAUUGACGGGGACCCGCACAAGCAGCGGAGCGUGUGGUUUAAUUCGAUGCUACACGCAGAACCUUACCUGGGCUUGACAUGUAGGUGGUAGUGAAGUGAAAGCGGAGCGACCCUUCGGGGAGCCUACACAGGUGCUGCAUGGCUGUCGUCAGCUCGUGCCGUGAGGUGUCGGGUUAAGUCCCGUUACGAGCGCAACCCUUGUCCUUAGUUACAAGUGUCUAAGGAGACUGCCGGUGACAAACCGGAGGAAGGUGGGGAUGACGUCAAGUCAGCAUGGCCCUUAUGUCCAGGGCGACACACACGCUACAAUGGUCGGUACAAAGGGCAGCGCAGCCGCGAGGUGAAGCGAAUCCCACCAAAGCCGACCCCAGUUCGGAUUGCAGGCUGCAACCCGCCUGCAUGAAGCCGGAGUUGCUAGUAACCGCGCGUCAGCCAUAGUGCGGUGAAUACGUUCCCGGGUCUUGUACACACCGCCCGUCACGUCAUGGGAGUCGGUAACGCCUGAAGCCGGAAGUCUGACCCGCAAGGGAGGGCGCCGUCGAAGGCGGG
rnacentral:rRNA from 1 species